CUUCUCUACGGUCUCAUCCUCCCAGAGUGAAGCCCAGGCACGAUGCUCAGAGGCCCUUGGGUAAGUACCUCUUGUAGAAAUCAGCGAAUGACCCACCGUCGAGGGCUGGCGACUUGAGCCUUGUGGGACCCAGAAGUGCCCAGGGGGUCACAGUAAGAAAUGGCCUCUCUUCUGGGGCCAGGCCACCCUAGGCACUUUGCUUCAUUUCACUGAUGCCCCUAGGAGCCUACUCGCCCAUGGGGAGUCCAGGGCCCCUGUUCCUCAGCCCCAGAUGGCCCUCUCCGGUUUGUAUGAGGACAGGGCAGAACCCCAGCAGGUGAGCAGUGGGGGGACCCUUUGGGCAGGGUCUCUGGGGACAGGGACCCCUCAAUCUCGACAGCCCACCCAUCCAGACGGCUGCCUUCUGCGUGCUCCUCAGACACAGCUACCCUGCCCUUCGGUAACGGUAACGGGGGAGCUGCCCAGAAACCACAGAGCGUAAUCAUAGCUGCAGGGCCCUUGAAAAAUGGCUGGGAAGGGCCGGCUCAACUCGCAGGUGUAGGAGGAAGCACAGACUCUUGACCUCGGAAGGCCUGUUCCUGCUAGGUUCCCUGGCCUCCUGUCCAAGAUGUCCCCGGCUCACCAUCCCGUGGCCCCACCUUGUUUGAUUUUGAUGGUACGUGUCACCCCUGAAAUGACGGUGCUUCUGGUGUUUACAGUUGAGUGUUGUCUCCUCGCAACUGAGAGGGGAUAACUGGACACAGACGCGCGGAGAAGGCCGUGUGAAAUGGACGCGGGGUUCGGAGCAAUGCAUCCCUGAGUCGAGGAACACUACAGCUUGCUGGAGCCACCAGAAGCUGGAAGAGGUAGGAAGGAUCCCCUCCUAGAGCUUUCAGACAGAGCACGGAACUGCCGACUCAAAGUCCUGCUGAUCCUGGACUUCUGGCCUUCGGAACUGACAGAGAAUACAUUUCUGUUGUUUUGAGCCA